AAUAUCUAGCGUCUAAUAUCUAGACUAGUGGCGGACGGGUGAGUAACGCGUGAGCAACCUGCCUAACAGAGGGGGAUAACGUAUGGAAACGUACGCUAAUACCGCAUAAUAUAUAUUUAUCGCAUGGUAGAUAUAUCAAAGGAGCAAUCCGCUGAUAGAUGGGCUCGCGUCCGAUUAGAUAGUUGGUGGGGUAAUGGCUCACCAAGUCAGCGAUCGGUAGCCGGACUGAGAGGUUGAACGGCCACAUUGGAACUGAGACACGGCCCAGACUCCUACGGGAGGCAGCAGUGGGGGAUAUUGCACAAUGGGCGAAAGCCUGAUGCAGCAACGCCGCGUGAGGGAAGACGGUUUUCGGAUUGUAAACCUCUGUCUUCGGUGAAGAAAAAAAUGACGGUAGCCGAGGAGGAAGCCACGGCUAACUACGUGCCAGCAGCCGCGGUAAUACGUAGGUGGCGAGCGUUGUCCGGAAUUACUGGGUGUAAAGGGAGCGCAGGCGGGGAGACAAGUCAGCUGUGAAAACUAUGGGCUUAACCCAUAAACUGCAGUUGAAACUGUUUUUCUUGAGUGGAGUAGAGGUAGGCGGAAUUCCGAGUGUAGCGGUGAAAUGCGUAGAUAUUCGGAGGAACACCAGUGGCGAAGCGGCCUACUGGGCUCUAACUGACGCUGAGGCUCGAAAGUGUGGGGAGCAAACAGGAUUAGAUACCCUGGUAGUCCACACUGUAAACGAUGAUUGCUAGUGUGGGGGGGUCUGACCCCUUUCGUGCCGCAGCUAACGCAAUAAGCAAUCCACCUGGGGAGUACGCGCAGUUGAAACUCAAAGAAUUGACGGGGCCCGCACAAGCAGUGGAUUAUGUGUUUAAUUCGAAGCACGCGAGAACCUUACAGGUUCUUGACAUCGAC
rnacentral:rRNA from 1 species